AGGACGAACGCUGGCGGCGUGCUUAACACAUGCAAGUCACGGGGGCCCGCAAGGGCAACCGGCGAACGGGUGCGUAACACGUGAGCAACCUGCCUUUGUGCGGGGGAUAGCCGGGCUAACGCCUGGGUAAUACCGCAUACGGUUCUCGAGGGGGGUCCCUUGGGAAAGAAACCUCCGGGGCACAGAGAGGGGCUCGCGGCCUAUCAGCUAGUUGGUGUGGGUAACGGCCCACCAAGGCGACGACGGGUAGCU
rnacentral:rRNA from 1 species